rnacentral:rRNA from 3 species
GGCACUGCCCGGUAGCUAAAUGCGGAAGAGAUAAGUGCUGAAAGCAUCUAAGCACGAAACUUGCCCCGAGAUGAGUUCUCCCUGAGACUUUAAGUCUCCUGAAGGAACGUUAAAGACGAUGACGUUGAUAGGCCGGGUGUGUAAGCGCAGCGAUGCGUUGAGCUAACCGGUACUAAUGAACCGUGAGGCUUAACCUU